CCCUUAGAUGUUCUGGGCCGCACGCGCGCUACACUGAUGCAUUCAACGAGCCUAUCCCUGACCGACAGGUCCGGGUAAUCUUUGAAUCUGCAUCGUGACGGGGAUAGAUUAUUGCAAUUAUUAAUCUUCAACGAGGAAUGCCUAGUAGGCGCAAGUCAUCAUCCCGCGCUGAAUACGUCCCUGCCCUUUGUACACACCGCCCGUCGCUCCUACCGAUUGAGUGGUCCGGUGAGGCUUUGGGAUCUGAGCGGAAAGAGCGUUUCGCUGUUUCUGCCCGGAAAACUCAGUCGAACCUUAUCAUUUAGAGGAAGGAGAAGUCGUAACA
rnacentral:rRNA from 1 species